UGUAUGGCUUGAGUUUUCUUCCCUCUGUUUACUCAUUGCUGGCUGUCACUCCUGGAUUCAUCAUUCCACCACAUUUUAGAGUAUGGACUUUAAUUACAGGAGGAUUUAUAGAAUAUAGAAUAUGGAAUAUGUUAAUAGACAUUGGAGUUCUUGUCUUGUGUGGUCAGUUGUUAGAGCCUCUCUGGGGAGCACUUGAAUUUUUGAAAUUUGUAUUAAUCUUAGAUGUAGGAACAUCACUGAUAACAUCAGCUAUUUGUGUAAUAGCUUAUGUUGCAACAUUUGACACACACAUGUGGUAAGUUGACAACUAC